AUUGAACGCUGGCGGCAGGCUUACCCCAUGCAAGUCGAGCGCGCGGCGGACGGGUGAGUAAUGUCUGGGAAACUGCCUGAUGGAGGGGGAUAACUACUGGAAACGGUCGCUAAUACCGCAUACCAUCAGAUGUGCCCAGCUGGGCUUAGCUAGUAGGUGGGGUAAUGGCUCACCUCGGCGACGAUCCCUCGCUGGUCUGAGAGGAUGCCCAGCCCCACUGGAACUGAGACACGGUCCAGACUCCUACGUGAGGCAGCAGUGGUGAAUAUUGCACAAUGGGCGCAAGCCUGAUGCAGCCAUGCCGCGUGUGUGAAGAAGGCCUUCGGGUUGUAAAGCACUUUCAGCGAGGAGGCGUUACUCGCAGAAGAAGCACCGGCUAACUCCGUGCCAGCAGCCGCGGUAAUAC
rnacentral:rRNA from 1 species